CCUCUGCUGGAAUUCAUGACCUAAAUGGGUAUGCCUUUAUUUAUUUAUUGCCAAUUUGAGUAAUCUCUACACCCAACACAGGGCUCGAAUUCACAACCCUGAGAUCAAGAGUUGAACAUUCUUCUGUCUGAGCCAGUUGGAAGAAACCUACGAAAACGGUUGCUUUGUGGGCAAGCUACAAUUAUUCUAAUGGAUUGCAACAUCUCCAUUAUAUAAAUGCAAGCAGAGACUGGAGCCCAAGUCUCCUGAUCCCCAGGGUUUCUUUCGCUUACCAUGUUACCUCCCGUUUUACUUAAAGCACUAAAAGUUCAACCACUUACCUUAGCUUGUAACUUUUGUCACGUUAAAUCAACUCCGAUUUUUAAUCAAUCUUAAUUUCCCUCCUAAUUAUAACAUGCUGAAUUUUA